UACGGGGGGGGCAAGCGUUGUUCGGAAUUACUGGGCGUAAAGGGCUCGUAGGCGGCCAACUAAGUCGGAUGUGAAAUCCCCAGGCUUAACCUGGGAACUGCAUCCGAUACUGGAUGGCUUGAAUCCGGGAGAGGGAUGCAGAAUUCCAGGUGUAGCGGUGAAAUGCGUAGAUAUCUGGAGGAAUACCGGUGGCGAAGGGCAUCCUGGACCGGCAUUGACGCUGAUGAGCGAAAGCGUGGGGAGCAAACAGG
rnacentral:rRNA from 1 species